UACGAGGGGGGCGAGCGUUGGUCGGAAUUAUUGGGCGUAAAGGGUGCGUAGGCGGUUCGGUAAGUUUCGUGUGAAAUCUUCGGGCUCAACUCGAAGUCUGCACGAGAUACUGCCGGGCUUGAGUGUGGGAGAGGUGAGUGGAAUUUCCGGUGUAGCGGUGAAAUGUGUAGAUAUCGGAAGGAACACCUGUGGCGAAAGCGGCUCACUGGACCAUAACUGACGCUGAGGCACGAAAGCUAGGGGAGCAAACAGG
rnacentral:rRNA from 1 species